CUAGGUUCUAAGUUGGGUGCAGGGGCAUAAUCAAGCACUAUACAGCUUGGGAUCAACUAAAAGCCCUGGUCUUCCAUCCGCAGCCAGGAGAUUGCUGAGGAGGCCAUUACACCCAUUGGUUGAACUCUCUUUUAGAUGUCAAUUCAAAAUAGGAAUGCUGGUUCUAAAUUGGAUGCAGCCGCAUAAUCAGGCAAUAUAUAGCUUGGGAUCAACUGAAAGCCCUGGUCUCCGAUCCGCGGCCACGAGGUAAAACAAUUUGCAAGGCAGUACGCAUUACAGCAGUUCAAUCUCUUUGCCAAAGUAUGCUCGAGUGUCGAGAAUUCCGGAACUAGCAGAAAAUUGCCAUUACAUCUCAGGAUAAAAUGUCACGGUUCGUAGAUCCGUGAUUAGUCCAAUCUGCCAUUGUUUAUCCAGCAGCACGUAUGUCUACUGCCUAGCCCCUAGGCACGAUUGGGGCAGGGAGUUUGUUGAGGGCUGUAAGUAGAUAGCCUGUAAAAAAAGAGUUCCAGACAAUCCCAAUAGUAAGGUGCUCAGGCCACAAUAGUGGCACACAAGCCAGCAGACAGCACACCCUAAAGUAGUUUGACUAGCAUCGCCAGCUAGUACAACAAACCAAGCAAGUAGAGCCACACGACACGCGUACUAGGCGUGCAUUCCACAGAUCUACAUGCCAAAUGCACCAUCAAAUCUGAGCCAGUUUGAGCAGUGCAAGGUCCGGUAGUAAGGGCCAGCACGCAUACAGGCCGCGCACAUUUCAGCCUCAUAGGAAAAGGCCGCGUGCAUAAUCAACUCGAUACCAUUGGGCCGUGCAAUAGAAGGCCACAUGAUCCUUGCCUCACAAGCAGCCCGUGCACAAAACAGCAACACACAUGGGCGGCCCCACAGCAACAGGACAAACGGGCCACACAUUCUCAAUGCCCACACGCCAAAAGGGGCUUCACCCUGGCAGCACUCUACAAAGCCUAAUGGUAAGAGCUGACAUCAUUAGGGCUCGCACAUGCUGAACGCCCAUCAGCAACAGGUGCAAGUCAGUUCCACAUGAGCGUCGCAUACCAAGCCAACCUAUCUAGGAGCCGCUUGCUCAUAGAGUCUAACCCCGAGGAAGACCACUCCUUGGAAGACCUGACAGAGACACCAAUUAGCUCACCCAAGAGCACCAGCUUAAAGUGCAUUUCGCCAAACCACAAUCGCAGAUGGCCAUGGAGCUUUGCAGAGAUAGGGGCCAACUACAAACAAGCCAUCCACACUAAACCAACAAAGUGCUCCAAUAGCUCGCACGCACUAGCAGGAGGCAACAGCAGCUCACAUGCUCAGCACACAGAAGCAUAGUGCUGCCGACUUCAUAGCCAAGCAAGUUUCUAUGGUUUUUAAAAUCUUUGUCAAUUUUCCUAACUUGUGAGAAUAUUUGCUUACCAGUAAGCUUAGUUUUAAGACUUUCCUUUCAUGCAAAUUUAAAUUACUUGGGCAUCAAGUUUAAGUCAAGUAAACUAUUAUAAAUAGCAUCUUAGAGUGUUUUUAU